rnacentral:snoRNA from 1 species
AGCCAACUCACAUCCUUAUCCAUUGUCUCUAAAUACUGGUCUGAGUGGUGCUAAAAGGAGGAAGAGUAAAAUUCAAACCAAUUUUAAUUCUUUUGUGAGACAUGAGCUCGUUUCAAACAAAC